CCUACGGGAGGCUGCAGUGGGGAAUAUUGGACAAUGGGGGGAACCCUGAUCCAGCGACGCCGCGUGAGUGAAGAAGUAUUUCGGUAUGUAAAGCUCUAUCAGCAGGGAAGAAAGAAAUGACGGUACCUGACUAAGAAGCCCCGGCUAACUACGUGCCAGCAGCCGCGGUAAUACGUAGGGGGCAAGCGUUAUCCGGAUUUACUGGGUGUAAAGGGCGCGUAGGCGGGAAUGCAAGUCUGAAGGGAAAGGCGGGGGCCCAACCCCCGGACUGCUUUGGAAACUGUAUGGCUUGAGUGCAGGAGAGGUAAGUGGAAGUCCUAGUGUAGCGGUGAAAUGCGUAGAUAUUAGGAGGAACACCAGUGGCGAAGGCAGCUUACUGGACUGCAACUGACGUUGAGGCUCGAAAGCGUGGGGAGCAAACAGGAUUAGAUACCCUGGUAGUC
rnacentral:rRNA from 1 species